rnacentral:rRNA from 1 species
UGCGUAGGUGGUUGGUUAAGUUUGGGGUGAAAGCUCCGAGCUCAACUCGGAAAAUGCCUUGAAGACUAUCUGACUAGAGGAUUGGAGGGGAGAUUGGAAUUCUCGGUGUAGCAGUGAAAUGCGUAGAUAUCGAGAGGAACACCAGUGGCGAAGGCGAAUCUCUGGACAAUUCCUGACACUGAGGCACGAAAGCCAAGGGAGCAAACG